GUUAUUUCUUUUGACGAUCUCUUAUCUAUGGACAGUUUAUUGUUUAUUUGUUUUUUCGCCAUUUUAACUUGUUGACUAACCGACAAAUGAGAACAUUGAAGUACAAAGAUAUUGUUCUUCCUGGACCUGGUUUAAUCAUGUAUCAUCUUCCAGUUAAUAUUCAACUGAUGCAAUGGUGCAGCUCUCCCUAGAUUUAUUUGCGUAGAAACUUUGAGACGCUAUAUUUUGCAGUUGAUUAAGAUCAACGGUGGAGAAGACAAAGAAGACCUCGUAGUUAUGAUACUCCUCUAUCUUGCAUGCUUUAUUUUGUUUGAAUUAAUUUUUUAUUUUAGAUGUUUUCAUUUAGUAGCUGUAGUAGCAGCAUGUUUCUUAUUUACCUCUUCGCUUAAUUUACUGCAUAUCCUUACUAUUUUGCUUUGCAUUUACCCUAGGUGUUCUACUUGAUUCAAUGUUUCGGUAUCGUAUCUUCUCAGCCUUGUGGAACUAGGGAGGGCCUCCUCGAACGACUUGCUUUGGCUUUAGCUAUUUAGUUGAUCUAAAAAGUGUCUUAUACACUUUUCGCGAGUCUACUCUAGCAUUACUUCCUUUCAGACAGG
rnacentral:lncRNA from 1 species